GAUUAACGCUGGCGGCGUGCCUGACACAUGCAAGUCGAACGAGGUAGCGAAUACCUAGUGGCAGACGGGUGAGUAACACGUGGUCAACCUUCCCUAGUGUGGGGGAUAACUAGCCGAAAGGUUAGCUAACACCGCAUAAUAUCUACGAGCGGCAUCGUUUGUAGAUCAAAGGAGCAAUCCGCACAAGGACGGGACCGUCGUCCCAUUAGUUAGUUGGUGGGUAACGGCCUACCAAGACUCCGAUGGGUAGCUGGUUUGAGAGAGCGACCAGCCACACUGGGACUGGAGAAAC
rnacentral:rRNA from 1 species